rnacentral:rRNA from 1 species
AAACGUAGGUGGCAAGCGUUGUCCGGAAUUACUGGGUGUAAAGGGAGCGCAGGUGGAUCGGUAAGUUGGAUGUUUAAUCUAUGGGCUCAACCCAUAAUCGCAUUCAAAACUAUCGAUCUUGAGUGGAGUAGAGGCAGGCGGAAUUCCAGGUGUAGCGGUGGAAUGCGUAGAUAUCUGGAGGAACACCAGUGGCGAAGGCGGCCUGCUGGGCUCUAACUGACACUGAGGCUCGAAAGCAUGGGUAGC